UCUGCGAAUGAGCCCCAGCAUCCCCAGAAGGGACCAGCAGCCGGGGUUCCACACUCGCCUGGGGCGCAAGAAGCCACUUGGCAUCAGCAGGGGGCUGCCACUUGUGAGCGUGCAGUGAGUGAAGAUGUGGAGAAUGGAUUCUGCACCAGGGAUGGCAGUGUGAGGGAGGCCCUGGAUCCCCAGGGCACAUCAACAACCAGCAAUGAACACAAAAGGGACCUCAGAAGAUUGCUGGGUGAAUGGAUCAGGAGCCAUCCCGUGGGCACGGCGGUGCUGAUUCUGCUGCUCCUGGUGCUGCUGCUGGCUUUGGGGGUGGCCUUGGCUGUGCUGGCAGCAGCAGCAGCAGCAGCACAUGUUCCAGUCACACCUGCGAAUUUGCAUUGCUGUCCUUUUGACUGGGUUGGCUACAAGGGGAUCUGCUA